rnacentral:rRNA from 1 species
GACGAACGCUGGCGGCGUGCUUAACACAUGCAAGUCGAACGGUGAACCCGGAGCUUGCUCCGGUGGAUUAGUGGCGAACGGGUGAGUAACACGUGAGUAACCUGCCCUUGACUCUGGGAUAACUGCGGGAAACUGUAGCUAAUACCGGAUACGACCCUCGGCGGCAUCGCCAGGGGGUGGAAAGAAUUUCGGUCAGGGAUGGACUCGCGGCCUAUCAGCUAGUUGGUGAGGUAACGGCUCACCAAGGCGACGACGGGUAGCCGGCCUGAGAGGGUGACCGGCCACACUGGGACUGAGACACGGCCCAGACUCCUACGGGAGGCAGCAGUGGGGAAUAUUGCACAAUGGGCGCAAGCCUGAUGCAGCAACGCCGCGUGAGGGAUGACGGCCUUCGGGUUGUAAACCUCUUUUAGUAGGGAAGAAGCGAAAGUGACGGUACCUGCAGAAAAAGCACCGGCUAACCACGUGCCAGCCGCCGCAGUAA